rnacentral:lncRNA from 1 species
AAACCGGUCUCCGGUUCGGCCGGAAGUUUUCAUACUGCUUGGUGGACAGGUCAGCCUCGUCUAAACCGUCCUCCGUUGUGUUCGGACAGUCCGCCGUUUCGCGAACCGCUGUCUUCACUCCUUUAAUCACAAACCCUAAACUCGACACCUUCUACUACCUCGAACUCACCGGAAUCAGUGUCGGCGGCGCCAGAGUUGCGGGCAUCACCGCCUCUCUCUUCAAGCUAGACACCGCCGGAAACGGCGGGGUCAUCAUCGACUCCGGCACCUCCGUCACCCGCCUCACCCGGCGAGCUUACGUAAGCCUCCGCGACGCCUUCCGGGCCGGAGCAGCGGACUUGAAACGGGCGCCAGACUACUCACUCUUCGAUACCUGCUUUGAUUUGUCGGGGAAGACGGAGGUGAAGGUGCCGACAGUGGUAAUGCACUUCCGCGGAGCUGACGUGUCGCUUCCAGCGACGAACUAUCUGAUUCCCGUCGACACUAACGGCGUCUUCUGCUUCGCCUUCGCCGGAACCAUGAGCGGCCUGUCCAUCAUAGGGAACAUCCAGCAACAAGGGUUCCGGGUUGUCUUCGACGUGGCGGCUUCACGGAUCGGGUUCGCUGCCCGCGGCUGCGCCUGAACCGGGUCAGGCCAUGGAGGGUCAAAUCUCUUUCUUACCCU